CAGUAGCCGCGGGAAUACAGAGGGUGCGAGCGUUAAUCGGAUUUACUGGGCGUAAAGCGUGCGUAGGCGGCUUUUUAAGUCGGAUGUGAAAUCCCUGAGCUUAACUUAGGAAUUGCAUUCGAUACUGGGAAGCUAGAGUAUGGGAGAGGAUGGUAGAAUUCCAGGUGUAGCGGUGAAAUGCGUAGAGAUCUGGAGGAAUACCGAUGGCGAAGGCAGCCAUCUGGCCUAAUACUGACGCUGAGGUACGAAAGCAUGGGGAGCAAACAGGAUUAGAUACCCCAGUAGUCCCUGUCUCUUAUAU
rnacentral:rRNA from 1 species